UAUAUCUAUUUGUAUCGGUCACUUUCUUCAUUCCGUUCUCACGCCUGUUAACCUUAGACGUGAAUAUGAUGAUCACAUAUGUGACAUGGCAAUUGGUUUUACCUCUGAGAUCUACCUAGGAGUUGACAUAUUGGUAUCAAUUUCAAAAUAAAAUAAUUCGAAUUUAUACAAAAUGUAUGUAACCUCAACUCUCUCUCUCUGGACCGUUCCUUUUCCUUCUCUUUGCAUAGUUUCAUGGUUUCUAUUGAGGGUUCUCUAAUUGCAGAGGUUUCUCGAUUUAGUUGGGUUUUGGUGUGCUUGAUCUCGGGUUAUGGUCGGUUGAUUGCGGAUCUCAGUUGUCUUAAGUGUUUUUAUCUCUUGGGAGUGGAGUACGGGUGUGUUCUUGGUAUCUGUUGUUGGCUUGUGGGUUUUCCAAGCGUCUUAUCCUUGGAAUUCUUGGUUUACUUUAUAUUGGUAGUUGUCAUGAUUCUGGAUCCUCUUUAUCGAUCCAUCUGUUCCUGAUCCAGAUUGGUUUGUAAGGGUGUAUUGUUGGCGGUUUGUUGUGCUUGAGGCAAGUACAGAUCAAGUAAGUUGGGUUUUGCUGAAUCUCGGUUUGUUGCUUGUUGGCGGGUCAAUCUGAUUUGUUGCCUUUAUUGUUCCAGUUUCUGUGCUUCCGUGGUUAGAUUCAGAGUCUGCAUCGCAAGCUCUACAGUGGCCGGCGGGUACUCCGCCAUCGUCGGGUAUUGUAGUUGGGCGCAAAUUCCUAAAUUUGGGCGAAGAGUCUAGGAUUGGACGCCCUAGGGCUGUUCAAAAGGUGGGCCGGGGUUCUCAUCCUUCUUGGGACUCUGCUACGAGCCCACUUUUGGAUGAGGCUGAUGUCUUUCGACAUGGGCUGUUUCAUAAUGCGGAUAGGCCUGAAGUAUUAGAUGACCCGAUUCAACCGGAUUAUUUUGGGGUGCUAUCCGUCAGAUUAGAGAAGAGAGAUAUCCUAUACCAACAACUGAUUGGGGUGCCGACGUACAACAACCAUCUCAAGUAGCAGUGCUAAUCACGCUCGAGCACGAAGGUCUUCGGUUUAGCCUGCAGCUUCAAUUGACAGGCCUAUGAGAGGUGAAUCAAGUUCUAUUGGGCAAAUAGGAAAUACAAGAAACCGUAUGGCUGACAAAUUGAGUAUUUUAGUUUGAAACUGUCAAGGUUUGGGGAAUCCUUUGACAGUUCAACAGUUGAAGAAAAUCUAGAUGACCCAUCGAAUGAAGGGUUUCAUACUAAAUAUUUAGGGAUACCGGCGAUAAUUGGUCGAUCGAAAUUUGAUGUCUUCCAAUUUUUGCUUCAUCGAAUGAAGGAAAGUCUAGCCUCUUGGAGGCAACAUACUCUAUCAGAGAGGAAGGUACAUUGAGCUAAGGAAGUGAGCAAGGGAGCACUCUAAGCAAAGAGCUAAGCGAAGAAAUCAUAAAAAGCUAAAAUCUAAUUUUUUUUUUGUAAAGCUUAAGUUGAAAAAUAAUUUGAAGUGCUUAAGGACCCUUUGUGAGCUCUUCCUAAACUCAAUCUCUAGUUAAAUCGUCGCCCCGGUGGAGGCUUAUUUUUCAAUUCAUAGAUAAAUCGUGAGCCAGAGUGGAGGCAAUUUUAA